GCGGCCGUGGUGGAAUUGGUAGACACGCAGGUAUGAGGUAUCUGUGCCUUACGGCUUGGAAGUUCGAGUCUUCUCGGCCGCACCA
rnacentral:tRNA from 1 species